rnacentral:rRNA from 1 species
CCUACGGGUGGCUGCAGUGAGGAAUAUUGGUCAAUGGGCGUAAGCCUGAACCAGCCAAGUCGCGUGAGGGAUGAAGGUUCUAUGGAUCGUAAACCUCUUUUAUAAGGGAAUAAAGUGUGGGACGUGUCCUGUUUUGUAUGUACCUUAUGAAUAAGGAUAGGCUAACUCCGUGCCAGCAGCCGCGGUAAUACGGAGGAUCCGAGCGUUAUCCGGAUUUAUUGGGUUUAAAGGGUGCGUAGUCGGCGUUUUAAGUCAGCGGUGAAAGUCUGUGGCUCAACCAUAGAAGUGCCGUUGAAACUGGGUGGAUUGAGUAUGUUUGAGGCAGGCGGAAGGCGUGGUGUAGCGGUGAAAUGCUUAGAUAUCACGCAGAACCCCGAUUGCGAAGGCAGCCUGCCAGGCCAUGACUGACGCUGAUGCACGAAAGCGUGGGGAUCAAACAGGAUUAGAUACCCUUGUAGUC